rnacentral:rRNA from 1 species
GGGUUGUGAGGUUAAGCGACUAAGCGUACACGGUGGAUGCCCUGGCAGUCAGAGGCGAUGAAGGACGUGCUAAUCUGCGAAAAGCGUCGGUAAGGUGAUAUGAACCGUUAUAACCGGCGAUGUCCGAAUGGGGAAACCCAGUGCAAUUCGUUGCACUAUCGUUAACUGAAUACAUAGGUUAACGAGGCGAACCGGGGGAACUGAAACAUCUAAGUACCCCGAGGAAAAGAAAUCAACCGAGAUUCCCCCAGUAGCGGCGAGCGAACGGGGAGCAGCCCAGAGUCUGAAUCAGCUUGUGUGUUAGUGGAACGGUCUGGAAAGUCCGACGGUACAGGGUGAUAGUCCCGUACACCAAAAUGCACAGGUUGUGAACUCGAAGAGUAGGGCGGGACACGUGGUAUCCUGUCUGAAUAUGGGGGGACCAUCCUCCAAGGCUAAAUACUCCUGACUGACCGAUAGUGAACCAGUACCGUGAGGGAAAGGCGAAAAGAACCCCGGCGAGGGGAGUGAAAAAGAACCUGAAACCGUGUACGUACAAGCAGUGGGAGCACCUUCGGGUGUGACUGCGUACCUUUUGUAUAAUGGGUCAGCGACUUAUAUUCUGUAGCAAGGUUAACCGUAUAGGGGAGCCGCAGGGAAACCGAGUCUUAACUGGGCGUUAAGUUGCAGGGUAUAGACCCGAAACCCGGUGAUCUAGCCAUGGGCAGGUUGAAGGUUGGGUAACACUAACUGGAGGACCGAACCGACUAAUGUUGAAAAAUUAGCGGAUGACUUGUGGCUGGGGGUGAAAGGCCAAUCAAACCGGGAGAUAGCUGGUUCUCCCCGAAAGCUAUUUAGGUAGCGCCUCGUGAAUUCAUCUUCGGGGGUAGAGCACUGUUUCGGCUAGGGGGUCAUCCCGACUUACCAACCCGAUGCAAACUACGAAUACCGAAGAAUGUUAUCACGGGAGACACACGGCGGGUGCUAACGUCCGUCGUGAAGAGGGAAACAACCCAGACCGCCAGCUAAGGUCCCAAAGUCAUGGUUAAGUGGGAAACGAUGUGGGAAGGCACAGACAGCCAGGAUGUUGGCUUAGAAGCAGCCAUCAUUUAAAGAAAGCGUAAUAGCUCACUGGUCGAGUCGGCCUGCGCGGAAGAUGUAACGGGGCUAAACCAUGCACCGAAGCUGCGGCAGCGACACUAUGUGUUGUUGGGUAGGGGAGCGUUCUGUAAGCCUGCGAAGGUGGCCUGUGAGGGUUGCUGGAGGUAUCAGAAGUGCGAAUGCUGACAUAAGUAACGAUAAAGCGGGUGAAAAGCCCGCUCGCCGGAAGACCAAGGGUUCCUGUCCAACGUUAAUCGGGGCAGGGUGAGUCGACCCCUAAGGCGAGGCCGAAAGGCGUAGUCGAUGGGAAACAGGUUAAUAUUCCUGUACUUGGUGUUACUGCGAAGGGGGGACGGAGAAGGCUAUGUUAGCCGGGCGACGGUUGUCCCGGUUUAAGCAUGUAGGCGGAGGUUCCAGGUAAAUCCGGUACCUUUUAACGCUGAGGUGUGAUGACGAGGCACUACGGUGCUGAAGUAACAAAUGCCCUGCUUCCAGGAAAAGCCUCUAAGCAUCAGGUAACAUCAAAUCGUACCCCAAACCGACACAGGUGGUCAGGUAGAGAAUACCAAGGCGCUUGAGAGAACUCGGGUGAAGGAACUAGGCAAAAUGGUGCCGUAACUUCGGGAGAAGGCACGCUGGUGUGUAGGUGAAGUCCCUGCGGAUGGAGCUGAGACCAGUCGAAGAUACCAGCUGGCUGCAACUGUUUAUUAAAAACACAGCACUGUGCAAACACGAAAGUGGACGUAUACGGUGUGACGCCUGCCCGGUGCCGGAAGGUUAAUUGAUGGGGUUAUCCGUAAGGAGAAGCUCUUGAUCGAAGCCCCGGUAAACGGCGGCCGUAACUAUAACGGUCCUAAGGUAGCGAAAUUCCUUGUCGGGUAAGUUCCGACCUGCACGAAUGGCGUAAUGAUGGCCAGGCUGUCUCCACCCGAGACUCAGUGAAAUUGAACUCGCUGUGAAGAUGCAGUGUACCCGCGGCAAGACGGAAAGACCCCGUGAACCUUUACUAUAGCUUGACACUGAACAUUGAGCCUUGAUGUGUAGGAUAGGUGGGAGGCUUUGAAGCGUGGACGCCAGUCUGCGUGGAGCCAACCUUGAAAUACCACCCUUUAAUGUUUGAUGUUCUAACGUUGGCCCCUUAUCGGGGUUGCGGACAGUGUCUGGUGGGUAGUUUGACUGGGGCGGUCUCCUCCCAAAGAGUAACGGAGGAGCACGAAGGUUAGCUAAUCCUGGUCGGACAUCAGGAGGUUAGUGCAAUGGCAUAAGCUAGCUUGACUGCGAGCGUGACGGCGCGAGCAGGUGCGAAAGCAGGUCAUAGUGAUCCGGUGGUUCUGAAUGGAAGGGCCAUCGCUCAACGGAUAAAAGGUACUCCGGGGAUAACAGGCUGAUACCGCCCAAGAGUUCAUAUCGACGGCGGUGUUUGGCACCUCGAUGUCGGCUCAUCACAUCCUGGGGCUGAAGUAGGUCCCAAGGGUAUGGCUGUUCGCCAUUUAAAGUGGUACGCGAGCUGGGUUUAGAACGUCGUGAGACAGUUCGGUCCCUAUCUGCCGUGGGCGCUGGAGAAUUGAGGGGGGCUGCUCCUAGUACGAGAGGACCGGAGUGGACGCAUCACUGGUGUUCGGGUUGUCAUGCCAAUGGCACUGCCCGGUAGCUAAAUGCGGAAGAGAUAAGUGCUGAAAGCAUCUAAGCACGAAACUUGCCCCGAGAUGAGUUCUCCCUGAGACUUUAAGUCUCCUGAAGGAACGUUGAAGACGACGACGUUGAUAGGCCGGGUGUGUAAGCGCAGCGAUGCGUUGAGCUAACCGGUACUAAUGAACCGUGAGGCUUAACCUUACAACGCCGAAGCUGUU